AGAAUCAACGCUGGCGGCGUGCCUAACACAUGCAAGUCGCACGAGAAAGGGAUUUCGGUCCUGAGUAAAGUGGCGCACGGGUGAGUAACACGUGAAUCAUCUACCUCCGAAUGGGGAAUAACUGAGAGAAAUCUUAGCUAAUACCGCAUAAUACCCACGGGUCAAAGCAGUAAUGCGCUUGGAGAGGAGUUCGCGGCAGAUUAGUUAGUUGGCGGGGUAAUGGCCCACCAAGACGAUGAUCUGUA
rnacentral:rRNA from 1 species